rnacentral:rRNA from 1 species
AUCAGUGAAACUGAUCUCCCCGUGAAGAAGCGGGGAUAUAAAUAUAAGACGAGAAGACCCCAUGGAGCUUUAAACCUGACAACACCCAUUUGUCUUUUACCCUAGUAUUCAUUAGGCCCUGUUUGUUUGGUUUUAGGUUGGGGUGACCACGGAGUAUAAAAUAACCUCCAAGAAAAAUGGACCAACAAUCCUUAUCAAAGAACUACAAUUCUAUGAAUUAAUAAAUUAAUUUUUAAUGACCCGAUAUUUAUUCGAUCAACGAACCAAGUUACCCUGGGGAUAACAGCGCAAUCCACUUUAAGAGCCCAUAUCGACAAGUGGGUUUACGACCUCGAUGUUGGAUCAGGGUAUCCUAGUGGUGCAGCAGCUACUAACGGUUCGUUUGUUCAACGAUUAAAACCCU